rnacentral:rRNA from 1 species
GACGAACGCUGGCGGCGUGCUUAACACAUGCAAGUCGAACGGUGAAGGGGUCUGCUUUUGUGGGCCCUGGAUGAGUGGCGAACGGGUGAGUAACACGUGAGUAACCUGCCCCCUUCUUCUGGAUAACCGCAUGAAAGUGUGGCUAAUACGGGAUAUUCUGGGUCUGUCGCAUGAUGGGUCUGGGAAAGAUUGCGCCUUUGGGUGUUUUUGGUGGGGGAUGGGCUCGCGGCCUAUCAGCUUGUUGGUGGGGUGAUGGCCUACCAAGGCGGUGACGGGUAGCCGGCCUGAGAGGGUGGACGGUCACACUGGGACUGAGACACGGCCCAGACUCCUACGGGAGGCAGCAGUGGGGAAUAUUGCACAAUGGGCGCAAGCCUGAUGCUGCGACGCCGCGUGAGGGAUGGAGGCCUUCGGGUUGUAAACCUCUUUCGCCAGUGAAGCAGGCCUGCUCCUUGUGGGUGGGUUGACGGUAGCUGGAUAAGAAGCGCCGGCUAACUACGUG